rnacentral:rRNA from 1 species
GACACGACUCUCGACAAUGGAUAUCUUGGCUCUUGCAUCGAUGAAGAGCGCAGCGAAAUGCGAUACGUGGUGCGAAUUGCAGAAUCCCGCGAACCAUCGAGUCUUUGAACGCAAGUUGCGCCUGAGGCCAGCAGGUCAAGGGCACGUCCGCCUGGGCGUCAAGC